UCUCAGCCACAUUCGCUUAUUUAAUGCUAUCUUCAUCAGCAGCUAAUUUAAAAAUCUAUUUCACAUUGACAUUAAACUGCAUAAUUCUACAAGAUUAAUUGAUAAUAAGACUAAUUUUACAUCUGUUCAGUUACUUGAGAUUCUCCAGUAUCCUGGUGUGAGAAAACACGCCCAGAUAAGAUAAGAGAGGUGAUAGCAACAUGCCCUGACUGCCAGUAUCUCUUUUCUUUCUAAAUGCAUCCAGGGCCAGGUCCUUCUGCUCUGAUGGCUUUCCAAUCCCCUCUUGAAAAUACUAGUGGUCUUUGGGUGAAUUAUUUAAUCACUCUAAGUUUUAUUACUCAUCCUUUACAAUUACAGAAGAUAAUAUCACAUCAUGGGGUCGUUUGAGAGAUUAAAUAAAAUAAUAUCAAUAAGAGCACCUAGCACGAUGCUUUGGUGUAUGAAUUCUAAUUAAAAACAAAUGUUGGAAUUUUGUUUUAAUAUUGUCCUUUGGAACCCUUCUGUGGAAUGGCCCUAGAUAAAGCUUCUUUAUAACAACAGCUUUUGGAAUGUAAACAAGAAACUAAGAAAUCUUUUAAUGGAGCCAAGAAAGACUCACCCUAUUCAUAAUUUUACUGAUAGCACCAUAACAAGACUUCCAGUUUAAAACAGUACCUGGCUGGCAUUAAAUACCACCAACAAAAAUGAAAAUGAGGGGAAAAAUAUCACAACACUAAAAAUUAAGAUGAUGUAUUUUCAGAUUCUAGGAAGGAAUUCUACUGAUUAUGAAUCAGCUAGAGAUUAACAAGGUUUCUCAUAGGUUUGUAUUAUGAAAUAGAGGCUGUGGGAAGGGCACAGCUGAGAGAGUAGGGCUUUUUUGAGGCAGCCAAAAUAUAGUUUCCCACAUCUAUCUACAUCUUACAGAGAGUGACUCCAAGGGUGGGAAGAGAGGGAUUGGAUAGCAACAUACCGCACCCUGUAGUUCAGGCUCGAAGAACAGAGCCCUGCAGGUGGAUGCAAAGACAUGAAGUGCCCCAGUGGAGGUGCUCAUAGGAAUCUGGUUCUUCAGGGCAGAGUGUCAGAGAAGAAGAAAGAGGGGCAGAGAGGAUACCCACGUUGGUGCAACAGAGAUGCACAGGAGGAAGGCCACUAGGGGCACAGAAACACAUUUUAAAAGACCAUUGAUGAAAAACCAUCUUUAAAUGCCCAUUUAAUUUUAUUCAGGAAGAGCAAAAUACAUUAAAAUAUUGAAAAACCCCCAAAACAUUGUGUUAUCAAAGGAGGCAAAGCCGUUGAAAUGGAAUCGUUUGGUUAGCAGGCUCGCACAACGGUGUAGGUGUUCGAUUUACUAAAACCGAAGUCCAGAGAAUGGAAGGUGGUUUAAGGAUAUAAAUGCAGAGAGUAAAACAAUAUGAACUGUUAAAAACAGUAUGGAAGAUGAUGACUUUUGGUUCGUUUCUUAGGAAUACAACUUGAAGGCAUGCAUCAAUCAAUAAAAUGAUAAAGAAAAUGAGAAAAUCAUGUAAUAAUAAUCUUUUAGUGAGAACUGUUAGACAAACAAGGAAUUGUUUAAAUAAUCACAAGAAAUGUGGUUUCAAAACUGAAAAGCAAUGUCAAAAAUGAACCUUUGAGGGAUGAUAUACAUGUGCAAACUGUAUUGUUAAUAUUUGGGGCUUUAAUCCCAAGUCAAAGGAAUUUGUGAUAGGAACUGCCGAGGUCCACAUUAUAAAUAAGGGCAACUCGACACAACAUCAGCCUUCCAGAAUGGCUUUGGGGUGCUCUCCAGAAAUGUUCUCCAUCCCGAAAAGGGUGUAAAAGGGAGAGGAAGGGCGAGUCCACCCCAGCCCUACCCCCAACCAAGCAUAUUUUGAAUCCUGACCAAAACCCCAGAGAAAAGAAAUGCAAGCUCAGAGUCCAAAAGUCAUUAUAAAUUCCUAGGAGAAGAUGAAAGUCUGAAUGAGCAAAGCUGUUUAAUUAACCCUAUUUUUUUAAAAUAAGCUCUGAUGAAGUUUAUUGACAUUCUGGGAAUAGCAGUUUAAAAUACCUCUAAUUACAGAGCAUGGAAACAUUAAUAAUAUUGAUGAGAAUGUUGCUGGCACAGGCUUUGGGGAUAAUUUCCUCCCCAAGACUCAGAGGGACAGGGCACUCGCUGAGGCCUGUCCAGGCUCUGGUGAAGGAACUAAAAUAUAAGAGCUGAUGUCCAAAGGGCAUGGUCCUCAGGCAGGUUGGGUGGAAACGUUCCACAUGGCUGGAAUGUAGACGAUGACUUCAGGGUGCAGAGAAGGCUGUGAGGUCCAUGGAACACUGGAUUUGUGGGCUGGAGGAACUAAGACCAGCAACAUGGUGGGUGUGAUAGAAGACACGGCCAUGGAUGUGCACUGAGCACCAGUUACGAAGCUGCUGAAAUUGUCUAAGUGAGAAAUGCCUUGAUGAAAGGGAACCAGUAAGGAUAGCAAAGAACGAAUUUGAAAGAGAUGUAGAAAGUAGAAUUUACAGGAUCUGGGAUGUGGUAGAAAAUGAAAGAGAAAAAUUUUUUUACAUGAUUCAAAAUUUCAGGCUUAGACGGCACAUUAUUCAGAACACAAUAAAAAAGAAUCAACCACCAACACCCACGAUACCAUGGAUGACUCUCAACUGUGUUAUGUCUCAACUGUGUUAGCUCAAAGAAGAUGCCAGACUCAGAAGUCUACCUGGCCCCUUUCUCCCCCUACAAUACUUAUUAACCUCCUACAGAGAGUUCUGCCAAAGAGCAACUUGGAAAAUUUUGCCUCAACUCAAAGGACUGAGACUUGGCAGGCAUUCCCAGGGCAGAAUCAUCUACUGGGAAGGAAGGUUGAAGAUGUACCCAGGACCUGAAGGUCCUUCCUGUUGCCUCAAACUGCACCUCUAACAGAAACUCAUAGAGUGGAACGGGGAACCAGCCCUGUACCCCAGCUCAUCCCAGCUCAGGCAUAAACAUGGGGGCAGGUCACUUAGCCCCCACUGCUGAUUCUGGAAUUCUAGCGCCAACCUCAAAGGCGCUAUUGUGAGAAUUAAAUAAAGUAACAAAAGAGAUA